rnacentral:rRNA from 1 species
AGUGCCUGUAUGAGUGUUUAUACAACGAAACUGCGAAUGGCUCGGUAAAACAGCAAUAAUUUAUUCGGGGGUAAUUGCUACUUGGAUAACCGAAGUAAAGCUAGAGCUAAUACGUGCUACAAAGGCGAGACUCGCUCUCGUGGUACUAAGUAUUAGGUACAACCCAAUUUUAUUGGUGAUUCAUACUUAUCUUCUGAUCGCACUCUGUGCGACGCCCCGAAUAAAUUUCUGACCUAUCAACUUCGAUGGUAAGGUAGUGUCUUACCAUGGUUGUGACGGGUAACGGACCGUGGGUGCGGGAUUCCGGAGAGGGAGCCUGAGAAACGGCUACCACAUCCAAGGAAGGCAGCAGGCGCGCAACUUACCC